GGCAAGGUUAAGCAAGUGAAUGACCAGAUCUCGGUGGUUUGUAAGGGAGGUGAUGAUAGUUCUGUUCAUGAAGAUGGUGGUUGUUCUGCUUCUUCAAUUCAAAAUACAUAAUAAAGACAAGAUUCUAUUCGUUAUUGCCGAUGCACUUCGUGAGAGAUUCAAUGCAAACAAGAACGUGGUUAGUUUCUCUUUUAUUUUGAUACGUAUAGUUAUGAUUGUGUUCACUAUGUUUAGUGUGAAAUUAGGAGUUGACUUGUUCAUAAGUAUAGGGAACACAGGGUAACAUGAAUGCAACUUAAAAUAUAGGCACUUCAACAAAAGUCGAAUGUGUUGGCAAGUUGACUUUUUUCAUUUUUCCUUUCAGCUGAGAGGAUCUCCGGAUAUUAAUGUUUGUUUUUGUGCUUCAGUGACAAUUUUAUCAGCUCCCAACUCCGGAAAUCUUGAAAAUAUUGUUGAAGUUUUUGAAAGCUCAAAGGAGGCCCCUGUUGAUGAAAGUGAUAGUAAUGAUACUGAUGAAAGUGAUUCUCUGAUGAUAUUGAAGAUUCUGAUCAUAGGUUAUAUACAUCAUUGUGUUGUAGGUUUUGCUUGUUUGUGAAUUUACCUUGGGCCUGGGUUAAUCUGUAGUUAAUAAUCUGGUGGUAGCCUAU